GGGCCUUGCUUAUAUAGUCCUCCUCCUCUGUGCGUUUUUGGUUCAGCAGGCGAUGUGGUACUAAACUUUGCACCCUAUCUCAUUAAAAUGCACAUAGGCCUUAAUGGACCAAAAUCUGAUUUGGGCCCAAUUAAUCCCGCAGCUCUUUUAUGUGGAGUCCUUCUUUUAUUAAUAUCUCUUGAUUCCGAACUCCAAAUAUAGCAAAUAAUAUAUGCAUUUCGAUCAGCUCGACGAGAUCUUUGCAGUGGUGGACUCCAUUCUAUGAUUGGUGGAAACACCUGGACGGGCGCCCAAGGGGGGUGGGCGGGCGCCCUGCCCCCGGGCCCGUUUGCCUUCUCGUUCGUUCCCGUGGCUUCUGGAGUCUUCUAGAUGAUAGAAAAUUGCGCGGUGCGUUGAUAUCUCUAUGUAAUCCCGACAUAUGGGCCUUUCUUCCGUAUUUUCUGAUAACCCCCUGCAGAAAUAGACAAACACCAAAACUCAUGGAAUUCUGUCAGAUAAAACCCUAAGUCUAGAUGUUGAUUUCAUUUGGAUCCUUUUCUUUGUUUAUUUGAUAAUUAAAUUUGAUACUUAAGGACCGUCAACAAACUCCCCCAAGCUUACCUCUUGCUCGUCCCUGAGCAAGGAUGAACUCAAGAGUUUCUGCAGUGGUUUCAUUUCUUAAAAGUACACACGCAUUCAAGCAAGAUCUCAUCUCUGAGUUAGAAUAAACUGUUAAGACUUAAAACUUACUCAUUUUACCUUUUACCAUGGGGCUUGUAACCAUCACUUGUGUCUUGAGCAGUUAAAAGAUAGAACGGUCAAGUCAAGCGCCAUGUCUCUUAUUCUUGAUCAGCUAUAGCUCUGGGGUUUUUUUGCAGAUUUUCAAAUAAAACUCAGAGAUUCCUUAUAUGACUCUCUCAGAUCUCUCUUUUGUGGUAUUUAUGGAUCCUUACCAAGGCAGUAAUGGUAUAUGCCUUCUCUCAAAGUAUGUGGUAUUUUUGGUAUGAAGCAUAGUGAUAUUGCCUUCUCUCUCACCCUACUCUAAUAAAGUUCUGAUAUCUGGAGCUCAUAGGUGGGAGACAGCUAAUACAUACUUACAAGACAUUUAUUGCAUAGUCAAACCAUGGAUCUAGAGAAACAAAUCAAUAAGUCAAAUCAAGAUGUGCAUGUGUGGCGAUAAUGAUGUAUGGUGAUGAUGGUGAUAAUGAUGGUGAAAGUCUAAUUCUAUUUUUUAUGCUCUUUUGAGGGGAUACAUACCUUUCUUGUACUUUGAAGCUUUUUAGGGAGAAUGAGAUGCUCUAUAUUUUCUUUUUCUUUCCUCUCAGGUGGGUAUCUUGUACCCCUAAUUCUACUGUCGGACACUUGUCCAUUUUUACCUCUCGUCUCACUUUUUCUUUUCUUCGAGGUUCCGGGCACUUGCCCCUUUUAAUUUCCUCGUAUUAUUAUUAUUUUUUUCUUCUUCUUUUUUUUAGAGCACUCAUCUCCUGAAAUAAUAUAGCAAGUGGUAGUAACCAAGAUAAAUCGAGCAUUUAUUUCACAGAGAAUAACAGGGAUAGGAAAAUAUUUUUGGCUAUUCUCUCCCAGAUUAGGAGUAGAAUAAUUUUGGGUGAAUCUGGAGAUGGAAAUGAGUGGAUAUAUAUGGAUGGUACUUUCGGAGUAGAAGUAGCAUGUAUGAGUGAACGUGCAAGUGAAUCUUGAUUUUAACCACAUGACAAGCUCCUAAGGGUCUACACAGCUUGACCACACUCAAUUCUCAUAAGCAGUAAAAAGUAAAUAUGUGGCUCAAAGUCUAGCAAGUAUGUAUAUAUGGCUGUGGUAGGAUUUUAAACUCUCAUCAUACAGGAACUCAUCAUGUGUUAUUUUAAAGAUUUUUUAAAGAUAAAAUUCUCCAGAAUUCUAGCAUCUCUAGGAACAGAUAAACAGCAGCUCAACCUUCCCAUAUCAUAUCCGUUAACGACUUAGACUUUAGAUCAAGUACUCUUCCCACAAGUUCAGGUUUAGAGCAAAUCUUACUUCAUAACAGUCAUGCCUAAACUUGAGAGAGAUUUCAAUUUUAAGAACUAGUCAUGGCAGAGCAACUAUUCAUCAUUUCCAUGUGAGAGUUUAUCAUGAGGGUUCAUAGCAAACUUUAUUUAUUUAUUUAGCAAACUAAGCAAAGAUAUAUAUAUAUAUAUAUAUAAAAGCACAAAAUCUUUAUUUGGGUUUUCAUGAUUAUGAAUCUUUUAUUAUUUGAGUAAAGUAUAAACGCGAGUAGAAACACUUAGCUGGAUAAAUGGAGGUGCUCUCCCCCAAGCUGGAUUUUGACGUAAUUUCUUCUGAUGUAGCUAGCAGGUGGCGGAGGUGUAUUUGAAUGUCGGUAGCACCCUGACAGCGAUUAGACUGUCCUCCGUCUGCUAGUCUUCUUGAUUCUUAAAUUCUGUAGAGCUCAAAUAGACAACAAAGCUUUGUGGAACUGGUUAAGUGUUAGCAUAAAUAUCUAGCCUUUAUCAUGUUGAGCCUCCUCAAUAAAUAUUACUUAUUUAGCAGGAUUAUGCAUUUAUUAUUUUUAUAUUUUUAUUGUAAGAUGAAAACUUCUUUAUUUUAUUUUUAUGCCACCACAGUGAAUGUACUUAUGGGUUUUAUGCCAUGAGCAUACUCACAUGGGGCUUACUAUUUUUUUAACAUUUUUAUUUUCUUUUCAAGAUAGCAUGAACCUGAUUAACUAAGCAAACUAUAGAAUGGAAAAGGAUAACUACCAAUUUUACCUCUUGGCAAGGCGUUCGAUGUUUUUAAGUCCUCCGAGCGGGAUUCCUUGUGUUUUCGGUUGUCCUGGGAUUCGCUAGGUGGCGUAGUCGGUGAUUUCGGCGGCGCCUCUUCUUUGUGUGUAACUAUCUUCUCUCUUCACACCUAACUCGGUGCUACGGUCUCCUCAGGAUAGUUAUGUUCAAGUGGUAUGUCUUCAGUCCUUAUUACUUCUCCUUCGUAGUCUACCCAUCUGUCCUUGAUGAUUUGCCUCCUCUGGUUGUGGUUGCGUUGUCUUCUUCUUGUCCUGACCUGCUUAGAAUCUUCAAUUAUAUAGUUAAGGUCAGUAAAAUAGCGGCGUACCUUCUCUGAGGGGAAGUACAUGUGGACUUCUCCGGUUCCAAUGUAGAUGAUAACAUUGAUAGUGUUGAGGAACGGUCUUCCAAGGAUGAUGGGUGGAUCGUACUCGUCUUCUCCCAUGUCAAUGAUCUGAAAGUCAUCUGGAGCUAAAUAUAUAUUGGUUGUAGGAGCAUGGUUCCAUGCAGGAGCUGAUAAGUGACUGCGGCCAUUAUGUUGACGUUAGAUCCGGUGUCGUAGAGUGUUUUCUGAAAAGAGUAUUCAUUGAUUGUGCACUCAAUGCUUGGAACACCAGGGUCGUCCUUCUUGAUCAAGAAAGGUGACUUGAGUCGACGAUCUUGACCUCCUUGAGCUGUAGUGACCAUCUUAGCGGACUCGGUCCACAUUUGCUUGUUCUUGUUCCUCCUGUUGGUCCUCUUCCUUGGUUCAUGUCAGGAUUGCUCUGAAGUUUGUCUAGUCUUGUUCUUGAAGGAAAAUCUCCUCCUUGAUGUAGAGACUGAUCUUGGCAGCAUUAGCGUAGAUGACAGCUCUGGUGUUUAGAAAUGGCCUCCCUAAGAUGAUGGGUGCCCUCUCCUCAGUACCAGUCUCUAUCACCGCGAAGUUUGCUGGAGCGUACAAGGUACCAACUCGGACACAGAGGUUCUUCAAUAUUUCCUUUGGGAAACUAAGUGUCUGAUCUCCAUUGUGUUUGUGCUCAUAGAUCCCGGUUCUUCACUUGGUGGAAUCUGGGAGUUGUAAAACUCCUCCAUGUUUUGUUUGAAGUGUACCUAUUCAUAAAGACAAGGCAGAGAUCAAGUGCAUGGGCCCUGUUGGUGGAAAACACCAACAGAACCAAAAGUGUAUUUGUUCUUCUCUAACCUUAAGCAUAGUGAGCAAGACAAAGUUUGAUAGAUAAUAAGAUCAUGAGUGUAGUAUUUAAAACAUUUGUCAGAUCAGAUUGAUCGACCUAAUGGAAAGAUAAUCUUCCCAAAGAUUGAAUGUGUAACAUUUUAGCUUAUAUGCUUAGGAGUGUGGGAUCACGAAGGUAGUACUAAGAACAAGGACUAAACAUGUUGAUUUAAUUGAGUUGGU
rnacentral:lncRNA from 1 species